GAUGAACGCUGGCGGCGUGCCUAAUACAUGCAAGUCGAGCGAACAGACGAGGAGCUUGCCCCUCUGACGUUAGCGGUGGACGGGUGAGUAACACGUGGAUAACCUACCUAUAAGACUGGGAUAACUUCGGGAAACCGGAGCUAAUACCGGAUAAUAUAUUGAACCGCAUGGUUCAAUAGUGAAAGACGGUUUUGCUGUCACUUAUAGAUGGAUCCGCGCCGCAUUAGCUAGUUGGUAAGGUAACGGCUUACCAAGGCAACGAUGCGUAGCCGACCUGAGAGGGUGAUCGGCCACACUGGAACUGAGACACGGUCCAGACUCCUACGGGAGGCAGCAGUAGGGAAUCUUCCGCAAUGGGCGAAAGCCUGACGGAGCAACGCCGCGUGAGUGAUGAAGGUCUUCGGAUCGUAAAACUCUGUUAUUAGGGAAGAACAAAUGUGUAAGUAACUAUGCACGUCUUGACGGUACCUAAUCAGAAAGCCACGGCUAACUACGUG
rnacentral:rRNA from 1 species